rnacentral:ncRNA from 1 species
GUGAUCCUUCCGCAGUGACGCCUACAGAAGCCUUUGUGCCCUCGCAAGAGGAGAUUUCUAGCGACUCAAAACAAGUAGAACGCGCAAGUCGCGGCCCCCUCCGGCCGCGGCGACACUUUCGAAUUGCGGGGACAUCCUUAAAGCUCUACCUACCAAACCAGGGCGGAAACGCGCCUGGUGGCCCAUGUUAACAGCAUGGGGUACGGUAAAAAGGGUCAGAGAUUGGGUAAUCCGCAGCCAAGCUCCUAAGGGCCCUUCGGGGCCACGGAGAAGGUUCACAGACUAAGUGGAAGUGGGCUGCGCCUUCGGGCGUGGCUUAAGAUAUAGUCGGGCCCUCGCCGAAAGGCAAGGGGUAGUCACUGCAGAGGCCCCACGAGCUCGAGCUCGUGGGCCUUGCAAUCUACCAAUGAUAAACCGUUCCGUAGGUGAACCUGCGGAAGGAUCAUUA